rnacentral:rRNA from 1 species
GACGAACGCUGGCGGCGUGCCUAAUACAUGCAAGUAGAACGCAGUUGCGAACGGGUGAGUAACGCGUAGGUAACUGCCUCAUAGAGGGGGAUAACUAUUGGAAACGAGAGAUAAUACCGCAAACUGUGAGCUGGAACUGCGUUGUAUUAGAUAGUUGGUGAGGUAAAGGCUAGACAAGGAGACGAUACAUAGCCGACCUGAGAGGGAGAUCUGCCAACAUGGGACUGAGAAACGGCCCAGACUCCCACGGGGGGCAGCAGUAGGGAAUCUUCGGAAAUGGACGGAAGGCUGACCGAGCAACGCCGCGUGAGUGAAGAAGGUGUUCGGAUCGUAAAGCUCUGUUGUGAGAGAAGCGGUAACUAAACAGAAAGGAACGGCUAACUACGUGCCAGCAGCCGCGGUAAUAC